CUGGACAAGUGGGCCUCGAUCCCACAAACUUCUAGUUAACAGCUAGAUGCCACAAACCUGCAGGCUUCCGUCCA
rnacentral:tRNA from 1 species